UGUCCAUUAAUUGCUAAUGAAUGAUACCCAUCAUUACAAAAGGAGAGCAUCAUUGAAUCUGGACCUCAACUCUCAACUCAAGAAGAGCAUGGAGGACAAGCCCAAGGCACUGAGACAAAUCCUCAGCAGCCUCAGGUGACUCAUGUUGUUCAUGCAAAGAAGAUGAAAGAGGUUGAGUCUAGAUUCAAAG